GACGAACGCUGGCGGCGUGCUUAACACAUGCAAGUCGAACGGAAAGGCCCUGCUUUUGUGGGGUGCUCGAGUGGCGAACGGGUGAGUAACACGUGAGUAACCUGCCCUUGACUUUGGGAUAACUUCAGGAAACUGGGGCUAAUGCCGGAUAGGAGCUCCUGCUGCAUGGUGGGGGUUGGAAAGUUUCGGCGGUUGGGGAUGGACUCGCGGCUUAUCAGCUUGUUGGUGGGGUAGUGGCUUACCAAGGCUUUGACGGGUAGCCGGCCUGAGAGGGUGACCGGCCACAUUGGGACUGGGAUACGGCCCAGACUCCUACGGGAGGCAGCAGUGGGGAAUAUUGCACAAUGGGCGGAAGCCUGAUGCAGCAACGCCGCGUGCGGGAUGACGGCCUUCGGGUUGUAAACCGCUUUCGCCUGUGACGAGGCGUGAGUGACGGUAAUGGGUAAAGAAGCACCGGCUAACUACGUG
rnacentral:rRNA from 1 species